rnacentral:lncRNA from 1 species
CUUCUCAUGAAUUAUACUUAUUUAUUUCUGGGCUUCCCAGGUGUCACUAAUGGUAAAGAACCCACUUGCCAAUUCAGGAGACAUAAGAGGUGCAUCUUAAUCCCUGGGUCAGGAAGAUUCCCUGGAGGAGGAUUUGACACCCAACUGCAGAACUUCCCUGGAAAAUCCCAGGGACAGAGGACCUUGGUGGGCUACAGUCCAUAGGGUCGCUAAGAGUCAAACACGACUGAAGCCGCUUAUCAUGCACACAUGCACGCAUGCAAGAGUUUCCCUGGGGGUGGCUCAGAUGGUAACAACUCCUAUGAUGACUACAACAUUUUUGUACUUUGUUUCUCAUAUAUAACUCCAUAUUUAUGGAUUUUCUACUACUGAAUUUUUAUAAUCUUACUGGAAUUGACCCCAGGUGCGUCCAUGGAAUACCCAUUACAGAGAUUCCCACAGCAAAGGGACCUCUUCCACUGGAGGAUCAAAUUGCAAAGACUUCUGUCAUUUUCUUAGGGUUUGCCUCCAUUCCUUCUAUCCGCAUGAGGACCCUAGCAAUAAAGGCAUAUGUCUAGCAGCAAUUCCCUUGAUAUCACUGCUUCAUGUAAAUAACUUGUUAUAAGGUGAGUGCGUGCUCAGUUGCUCAGUCAUGUCUAGCUCUUUGCAACCCCAUGCCCGCCAAGCUCCUCUGUCCAUGGGAUUGCCCAUGCAAAAAUACUGAAGUGGGUUGCCAUGCCCUCCUCCAGGGAAUCUCCCUGACCUAAGGAUCCAACCCAUGUCUCCUGAGGCUCCUUCAUUGCAAGUGAAUUCUCUACCACUGAGCCACCAGGGAAGCCCUGGUGUUACAAGGUAUAAGGCAAUAUUUAUAAACCCUAUCCGACACUCCUAUAAACCUAGUGACCAGACAUCUUUAGUGACAUCUGAUUUCUUGUAACCAAAUUGUUUGUACCAACAAAAUCAUUAUUGAUUGUUAGUCAUCAGAACUUCUGUAUCAACAAAAUAUUGACAAUCCCACUUAACUGCGAUGAAUGUGUUUCCUUACCUGUCCAUUUUAUUGGAGAGUAUCCUUCCAAAUCAUAACUCUGGAGAAAGAGCAAUGCUAAUUUUUAUUUUUAAAGUUCUCUUGUGUAUAUGACAGAAGAAAACACUCAGUGUCAUGAUGCUUCCCAGUAAGAUUUUUACACAGACUUCUGAACCUAUGGAUCAUCACUUAAAAAUAUUUUUUUAAUACUACUCAAUAUAUCACAAUAUUUUUAAAUAACACAUAAUAAAUUCACUCAAAACAAGUUGUGUUAGUCCUAACUAAUCACAAUAUUCCUCAGACAUUUUUAUCCAGACCUUUCGUACCUGCCACCUUCAGCACCUUUCAUCUUCCUUUAUGUCUUUUCUUUCUCUUUCUUUUUUCUUUCCUUCUUUCUCUUUUUUUCAUGUUUUCUUUCUUCUUUCUCCUUUUCUUUUUUUCUUCUGUCCUUCUUUCCCUCCUUCUCUCUUCUUUACCUCCUUCCUUCCUUCUUUUCUUGGGAACACAGUUUAUUAGGGUAAAUUAUCUUUUAAC